GACUAUGGCUGGACAUCAGAGAGAAGCCGCUUGACUUCAGAGGGACAGCUUGAUGAUAUAACUUUGGACAAAAAUUCGCCUGGAGACCACUGGACUUCAGGGGAAGAUUACCUUCCUGCCCCAUCUCCUUUUCAGCUCCCCUUCCCACUGAGAGCCACUUUCAUCAGCAAUACAAUCUCCCACAUUUAUUAUUCUUCAAUUAGUUCGUAGGACCUCACUUCUCCUGGAUGCUGGACAACAGCUUGGUACCCACCAGUGCAGAUACAAAAGGUCCCAUGUGAGCUGUUAACACAUAAGCCAUUCAUGGAUGGCAGAGCUAAAAGAAUGCUGUAACAUGCCCUCUGGGGCUUCAAGGGCUGUGGGCAUCCCCUGCCCACUGCCAGAAACCACAGUGAGGUCUGCACAGAGUAUGCUCCUGCUAACACCCAAAAGCACUUGCCCCAGCUCCUGCACCCAUUCAGCUGCCUGCUCCACCCCAUAAGGGGUGGAGCACAGAGGGUCUGAGUGAGUGGAGUUCACUCCUGCCAGUGCUAAAGCAGCUGGCUGGUUCCAGUGUUCGUGCACUCCAGUUCUUGCCUCAUUCUCUCACACAUUCCCUCCCACGCAUGAGGAGUUGAAAGCUGUGGGCUGGGUAAAUGAGGCACCCUUGUCAUGAGUCAUGCCAAGGAGUCAGAGAAAUAUCCUGCUUCAAAGUAAAUAAAAAUCACAAGAUCAUAGGAUUUUAUAGUCAUUGUUUGUGUAAUAGUUUAAUAUUUUCCUCAAGGUCAUUAAAUAAAUAUCCCAUAAACAUAAUUAAAAUUGUAAAACAAAAUUUCUUCAUGUGAAUAAUAUCAGUAUUUGGUUUACUGCAAAAGAUGUAUUACCAGUUAAAUAGAACUUUUGGAUAGUGGAGCACACACACAAAUAAUAAGAUUUGUAUGAGAAUGUUUAUACUUUUAAACACUAUGCAGAUGCUAGUCUGUAAAAUAUAUGUAAACUAUAUCAAAGAAAAAUAUGAUUCAUGCCCUUAUACCUAAAUAUGAGCAUCAUUAAUAGCUUGGCAAUUUACUUAUUUUUUGUUUUCUCCAUUUACAUGAGUUGUGUGUUUUUAAAAAUUUUUCAUUUGAAUUAAAGUUAGAUCACAAACUAUUGCUAUAUGACCAAUAUUCAUAUCAUUUUGGAGGCAGGCAAUAAGCAUUUAUUUUGUUCAUGCCUGCACAUUUAAUUUGUUUACAGUGCUUCUGCUUUAAGUUACCAUGGCUGAGGAAUCCUGCCCCAUGGUGUUUAUUCCCAGGGCCAUAGUUGAGGCAGCAUUGUCGUUUCUAGGACAUCUCACGGUAAUGGCACCAAUUUUAAAUCGGGUAAGCAGCCUCUUCUUCCUCUCUUCUCCAACCUCUCUCACCAUCCCUCAACCACUUUCUCCUUUCCACUCUUCAAUCUCUCCCUUCUCUUAAUUUCAAUUCCUUUCAUGUUCUGGUAGAGACAAAGGAGACACGUUUUAUCCGUGGACCCAAAACUCCGGUGCCGGUCACUGACUGGGAAGGCAGCCUUCCCUUGGUGUUUAAUCAUUGCAGGGAUGCCUCUCUGA
rnacentral:lncRNA from 10 species